rnacentral:rRNA from 1 species
UUCCGUUAGGGGUACCUGCGGAGGGAUCAUUACACAAUACAAUAUGAAGGCUGUCCGCAGCUGGAGUAUUUUAUUACCCUUGUCUUUUGCGCACUUGUUGUUUCCUGGGCGGGUUCGCUCGCCACCAGGACCACCAAAUAAACCUUUUUUAUGCAGUUGCAAUCAGCGUCAGUACAAACAAUGUAAAUCAUUUACAACUUUCAACAACGGAUCUCUUGGUUCUGGCAUCGAUGAAGAACGCAGCGAAAUGCGAUACGUAGUGUGAAUUGCAGAAUUCAGUGAAUCAUCGAAUCUUUGAACGCACAUUGCGCCCUUUGGUAUUCCAAAGGGCAUGCCUGUUCGAGCGUCAUUUGUACCCUCAAGCUUUGCUUGGUGUUGGGCGUUUUUGUCUUUGGUCGCCCAAAGACUCGCCUUAAAGUGAUUGGCAGCCGGCCUUUCUGGUUUCGCAGCGCAGCACAUUUUUGCGCUUGCCAUCAGCAAGACGGCAAUCCAUCAAGCCUCCUUCUCACGUUUGACCUCGGAUCAGGUAGGGAUACCCGCUGAACUUAAGCAUAUCAUAGGCCGGGAGGAA